rfam:Necator americanus N_americanus-1.0_Cont78.27, whole genome shotgun sequence.
GCCCGGUUAGCUCAGUCGGUAGAGCACCAGACUCUUAAUCUGGCUGUCGCGGGUUCGAG